AUGAUUUCACAAAAUCAUCUGAUCUGGCUCCUCGUUUUCUGGAUUCAGGAUGCCAAGGGACAGAUUGUGCUGACUCAGACUCCAGAAUCCCUGGCAGUGUCUCCUGGAGACACAGUCACUAUCCGCUGCAAAGCCAGUUCCAGUGUUGGAACCGCAAUAGCCUGGUACCAACAGAAAUCAGGACAAGCUCUUAAACUCCUCAUCCACAGCGCUUCCACACGUCACUCUGGGAUCCCAGACCGGUUCAGCGGCAGUGGGUCUGGCACUGACUACACAUUCACCAUCAGCCGGGUAGAAGCUGAUGAUGCUGGAGAUUAUUAUUGUCAGCAAGGCUACCUUCCUCUCAUAGUGACACAGACCAAUACAAAAGCCUCCCUGCUGCCUUCACUUUCUGUUCGUUAUUGCAACAGCAUUUUCCUGCAGCCAAUCAAAGUAUCCCACCAGCUGCUGCUGCUUCAGACUAGUGAAGUGUCUGUCAAUUUCAGGUACCUCACUCCAUUUUCCUCUAAUCUUUGUGGGCAUUUCUACAGGUCCUUCAAAGUAGCAGCAAACAACCAGAAGGUACAGAGUACUAUAUUAAAUACAUCUUCAGCAGCUUCCUUUAAAAUGCUGAAGAGUUUUUCAUCUUACACACUGGAUCCCAUUUCCCACUAA